rnacentral:rRNA from 1 species
GUGUCAGCAGCCGCGGUAAUACGAAGGGGGCUAGCGUUGUUCGGAAUUACUGGGCGUAAAGCGCAUGUAGGCGGAUUAUUAAGUUAGGGGUGAAAUCCCGGGGCUCAACCCCGGAACAGCCUUUAAAACUGGUAAUCUUGAGUAUGGAAGAGGUGAGUGGAAUUCCGAGUGUAGAGGUGAAAUUCGUAGAUAUUCGGAGGAACACCAGUGGCGAAGGCGGCUCACUGGUCCAUUACUGACGCUGAGAUGCGAAAGCGUGGGGAGCAAACAGGAUUAGAUACCCUGGUAGUCCACGCCGUAAAUUAUGAGAGCUAGCCGUUGGCAAGUCUACUUGUCAGUGGCGCAGUUAACGCAUUAAGCUCUCCGCCUGGGGAGUACGGUCGCAAGAUUAAA